GGCUUGGCAUUAGCUCAAGUGGUUAGUUCCUCAUGCUGGACUUUCCAUCUGUCUAAUCUCUGAGCUGGGGUUCGAGACCUGCAGGUGCUUUCUGACCCUUAA
rnacentral:vault_RNA from 1 species